UCAGACACAUCAAGAUGUUCUCCCAGGCUCAGCUGCUCUGGCUACUGGUGCUGUGGAUUCCAGACUCCUAUGGGCAGGUCACUAUGACUCAGUCUCCAGAAUCCCUCUCAGUGACUCCGGGAGAAAAAGUCACCAUCAGAUGUACAGCCAGUUCUAGCAUCAGCAGCAGAUAUGUCUCCUGGUACCAACAGAAAUCCGGACAAGCUCCUAAACUUCUUCUCUAUCGAGCCUCCACCCUUGAAUCUGGGGUCCCAGCCCGGUUCAGCGGCAGUGGGUCUGGCACCGCUUACACUCUCACAAUCAGCAGCGUUGAAGCCGAUGAUGCAGCGGAUUAUUAUUGUCUGCAGACUUAUAGCUCACCUCUCACGGUGAUACAGACCAAUACAAAAACCUCCCUGCUCUGGGUGUCUGCGAAUGCAGAUUUCUGCAGAGACAAUCACAGUGUCAGUGUAACUGCUGCCCCUCCCCACCUGCACUUCAGACUGUGCCAACAGGAUCAGGUGCUGUUUGUCUGGGUGUGA